AACGAACGCUGGCGGCGCGCCUAAUACAUGCAAGUACGAACGAGAAGGUGUAGCAAUACACUUGUACAGUGGCGAACGGGUGAGGAAUGCAUGGGCAACCUACCCUCGAGGUGGGGAAUAACCAGACCGGAAAGGUUGGCUAAUACCGCGUACGCUUCCGGGUCUCCGGAUCCGGAAGGAAAGUCACACCGUGGGUGUGACGCUCAAGGAUGGGCUCAUGUCCUAUCAGCUUGUUGGGAGGUAACGGCUCACCAAGGCAACGACGGGUAGCUGGUCUGAGAGGACGAUCAGCCACACUGGCACUGCGAC
rnacentral:rRNA from 1 species